CGUCAUCUAUCAACAUAAUGUUAUAUCAGUAUGUCGUCCAUCCUGUAUAUUAAACCUGCACACAACGAGCGCUGCUUCAAGUACAUCGUAUAAGUAGAAGUGUAACCUUGAUGAUAAAAUACUUGUACUGGUUUGUACACUGUUGUUAAAGUGUGUUAUAUAAGGAAAAAACAUUAGAUUACCGUGUAGAAAACAUAUCGACCAUAACUAUUAGGAUUAUUCGAAACCAGCCGUUUUCCCAGUAAUCAUGAAUGUUCUACCAACGGUGUUUUUCAUUCUGGAGUGUUUCCACUUUUUGGGGCAUUUGACCGUGCUUCUUGGAUGGCGCCUUCUUCCUCGUAAGGAUUUGGUUCGCCAGUUUCCCUAUUUCAUAAGCGAUACUUUGACAGUGUUUAUUUCAUACUUCUUUAUUAUACAACAAUUUCAAUGGCUGGCCGUGUUGCAGAUCAUUGAACAUGUCUUCAUCAUUUGUACAUGGGAAAAGCACAGCUGGACGAAAAAGGUUGUUAGUUGGAGUUCUCUGGACUGGAAAGAAAGCCGAAAAGUUCCUGAUGUUGUGUUUGGUACAUUUUUUGAUGUGGUAGUUCAUGGAAUAGAUGCCAUAAUUUUGGCAAGGAUCAUGUCCCUUCAGGAGGUGAUGUUGAGCUGCCUGCUCACCAGUGUUGCCUUUUGCGCUGUAUUCUUCAACUCAAAGUUUGCUUGGAGCAACCCCAAAUCAAUUCCACAGUGGGUAGCAAAAAGGAUCAAGCCUUGUGAAAAGUAUUAACUACCAAUGGAAUAUACAUCUGUUAAAAGUAUUAUUGAGAAAAUUCAUUCUUAUGUAUAAACAAUUUUACUUUGUAAAGCUUAAAAUGAAUUUGCUCAAAGAUAAUUUAGUUAAUUUUCAACAUAGUGUUUUAGAACAGAUAGCCAAAAUCUUUUCGGAAAAAAUGCAGAUUCAUGAUAUCUUAUGUAAAGAUGAAAUUGAGCAGGGUCAACAAAGAAAACAAAUAUAUAAAUGUACAAAUAAAAAGUACGUUUUCAAACAAUAA